rnacentral:snoRNA from 1 species
AUGAACCAUUUCAAUAUGAUGAUAACAUAACCCAGCUCAUCCGAGAGAGACUAAUCGUGUGGAUAAUUUUUCAUGCAUCACAAUCUGAUUGGAAUGGUUCCCAGAAGGGAUGGA